rnacentral:rRNA from 1 species
AGUGAACGCUUGCGGCGUGCCUAAUACAUGCAAGUCGAACGAAGUUGCGCACGGGUGAGUAAUAUAUAGUUAAUCUGCCCUACACAGAGGAACAACAGUUGGAAACGGCUGCUCAUACCUCAUAGUUUAGGAUGAGCCUAUAUCGUAUCAUCUAGUUGGUAAGGUAAUGGGUUACCAAGGCUUUGACGCGUAAAUGGUGUGAGAGGAUGAUCAGUCACAUGGGAACUGAGACACGGUCCAAACUCCUACGGGAGGCAGCAGUAAGGAAUAUUGCGCAAUGGGGGAAACCCUGACGCAGCAACGCCGCGUGGAGUAUGACACUUGUCGGAGCGUAAACUCCGUUUAUCAGGAAAGCGGUACCUGAUGAAUAAGCACCGGCUAACUCCGUGCCAGCAGCCGCGGUAAUUC